rnacentral:lncRNA from 1 species
UCGUUUAAAUACGGUUCCAUCAAUGUAACCGAUGUCUAUGUUCUGAGGAACAUGCCGCCUGUGAAGAUCAAUGGCAAAAGAAGGACAACACUUAGUGGGGUAUCGUUUGUGAAUCCUUCUACGCCUAUAAGACUAGCUGAUAAGCAUAAGGUCAAAGGAGUUUAUAAGCUUGAUUUCCCUAAGAGACCUUUAACCGGACCACCUAGGAUGGAGACUUCGAUCAUCAAUGGCACUUACCGCGGUUUCAUGGAAGUCAUUCUUCAGAACAAUGACACUAAGAUGCAAAGCUAUCACAUGAGUGGCUACGCCUUUUUCGCCGUCGGGUGAGUUACUUUGUUAGCUGUUUCUUCUUCAUUUUGUGACUGCAAACCUUUGUCUUAUUCAGAUUGUUUUGGUUGCAGAAUGGACUACGGAGAGUGGACAGAGAACAGUAGAGGAACUUACAACAAAUGGGAUGGUAUUGCA